AUCCAGUUGACCAGUCCGAAAUAAGACGAAAUGCACGUCAAACUGGAU
rnacentral:hammerhead_ribozyme from 1 species